CGUAGGGUGCGAGCGUUAAUCGGAAUUACUGGGCGUAAAGCGUGCGCAGGCGGUUUUGUAAGACAGGCGUGAAAUCCCCGGGCUCAACCUGGGAACUGCGUUUGUGACUGCAAGGCUAGAGUAUGGCAGAGGGGGGUGGAAUUCCACGUGUAGCAGUGAAAUGCGUAGAGAUGUGGGGGAACACCGAUGGCGAAGGCAGCCCCCUGGGCCAAUACUGACGCUCAUGCACGAAAGCGUGGGUAGCAAACAGGAUUAGAUACCCUGGUAGUCCACGCCCUAAACGAUGUCAACUAGGUGUUGGGUGGGUAAAACCAUUUAGUACCGGAGCUAACGCGUGAAGUUGACCGCCUGGGGAGUACGGCCGCAAGGUUA
rnacentral:rRNA from 1 species